rnacentral:rRNA from 1 species
AGGAUAAACGCUGGCGGCGUGCCUAACACAUGCAAGUCGAACGCGCUUUCGGGCUUCGGUGCGAGAGCGAGUGGCGGACGGGUGAGUAACACAUGGGUACCUGCCUUUCAGUGAGGGAUACCGGCGAGAAAUCGCCGACAAUACCGCAUGGGCUUGUGGGAACACAAGCAAAGUGGCGUAAGCCACGCUGGAAGAUGGGCCUGUGGCCGAUUAGCUAGUUGGGGGGGUAAUGGCCUCCCAAGGCGACGAUCGGUAGCUGGUCUGAGAGGACGAUCAGCCACACUGGGAUUGAGACACGGCCCAGACUCCUACGGGAGGCAGCAGUGGGGAAUCUUGCACAAUGGGCGAAAGCCUGAUGCAGCAACGCCGCGUGAGGGACGAAGGCUUUCUGAGUUGUAAACCUCUUUCAGCAGGGACGAUAGUGACGGUACCUGCAGAAGAACGCCCGGCCAACGUACGUGCCAGCACGCCGC